GACGAACGCUGGCGGCGUGCUUAACACAUGCAAGUCGAACGGAAAGGCCCUGCUUUUGUGGGGUGCUCGAGUGGCGAACGGGUGAGUAACACGUGAGUAACCUGCCCUUGACUUUGGGAUAACUUCAGGAAACUGGGGCUAAUACCGGAUAGGAGCUCCUGCUGCAUGGUGGGGGUUGGAAAGUUUCGGCGGUUGGGGAUGGACUCGCGGCUUAUCAGCUUGUUGGUGGGGUAGUGGCUUACCAAGGCUUUGACGGGUAGCCGGCCUGAGAGGGUGACCGGCCACAUUGGGGGUGUGGUUCGGCCCAGUCUUCUACGGGGGGCAGCAGGGGGUAAUUUUGCAAAAUGGGCGGAAGCCGGCCGCAGCAACGCCUCGGGCGGGAUGGCGGCCUUCGGUUUGGAAACCCCUUUCGGCUGGGACGAGGCGUGAGUGUCGGUAAUUGGUAAAAAAUUCCCGGCUACCUUCGU
rnacentral:rRNA from 1 species